rnacentral:lncRNA from 1 species
CUUUCCUCUCCCGAUCUGCCCCUUCUUCGCCUUUUUGCUCUUCUUCUUCUUCUUCUUCUUCUUCUUCUUCUUCUUCUUCUUCUUCUUCUAUUGCUGCUGCUGCGGCGGCGAUGUCGUCGACUACCACCACCUCUUCUCCGGUUUCUGUGGAGUCCAUUAACCCAAAGGUGAGGCCUUUCUGGAGUUUUGUUUCGAUUUGAUCCGUAAAGGUGCGAUUUUGAUUUGCUGGGGGGUUUAAUUUCGGGUUUUUGGAUCUGGGAUUCUCCCAGUUUGUUCGAAUUUGAUGCUACGACUCCUUUAGAGAUGCACCGAUCGGUUGUUUCUGGGAUUGAUUUGGCCACCUUGUGGGCGAUUUGAAGUGGAUUGUUAUGGUUGAUGUUCCAACUAUUUUGUGUCGAAGGCGAUAGUUUUGACUCAUUGCUUGCUUUCUCUUUAGUUUCUAACUUGCUUAGCACUCUAUUGCUUGUUUACCAAUCACUUGUGCCCUGUCACUGUUGCAAAUCUCUCUGCUAUUUUGUGGAGUUAAAGUUCUAAUUAUUUUGGUUGGUUUACUUUUGAUCAGUGUUCUUUUCCUUCUCUAUAUAUAUCUAUGCUUUGCUUGGUCUUAGUGGAUGAGUGUGAUUUAUAACUUAUUCUUUGUUUUUCUAAAAGAAUUUAUUGUAUAUCUACAUUUUCCAGUUUAUUGUAGUGUUUGGCUUGGUUUUAAGAAACCACCUUCGCAAGAACAAAUCGUAUUUGGCAAUGUUGUUGUUUCACCUCACAGUAUAGAUGCUUAAGUUGUUGGCUUAUGUAUUUUCCUACUUGGCUUUGUCCAAGACUUAUUUUUGAUCAUGUUUUUGAUGUGCUAUUACUACAUUUAAGUAUUAACUUCAAAUUUUUUUUCCUUUAAAAGUUUGCUUGAGGCAUUAUACAUGGCAUGAUAUUAUCAUUAUAUGCUUCUACUGACAUUCAAACCCAUUUUUUAGGUUUUAAAAUACGAGUAUGCCAUCAGGGGAGAGAUUGUAAGCCAUGGUCAAGUAAAUUAAAUUAGCUUCCCAUUUUCGUUCUUUUUCAAUCGCAGUCAAAUAUAGUUAUUAAUCCAAGAUUGAGAUAAGCUAUAGAACAUAGCAUGAAAUAAUUUUACAGAUUUUAACAGCUUAUAGUAUGAUCUUUUUUUUUUUUUGGGGUGGAAUUCUAGGAAAUUUUCUCCAAAUUAGAAAUUAUACUGAAUCGAUUUGUGGAUGUUGUUUCCUUAGGUGGUGUUUGUCAUAAAUUGUACUGAUGCUAUAUUAUUCAUUCCGAAGACAAUUUAAGAUUCAUUUGUGAAAAGAGAACAGUCUCUAAACUUGUAAUAUAUCAGAUUUUGGUAUAAAAAUAAAGAUAAAUAAAAGUAGUGUGAGAUACUAUUUUUAUUGGGUUUCGAAAAGCAAAAUAUAUGUCUAGAGUGACUUGUGCUGAAAUCGGAAUGAAAACAGAAUAUUUAUAAUUUUCUGUUGGAAACGGGGCGGAUAAAAUUAGCAGGAAAUGCACAGUGUCAGAAAAUUAUGAAAAUUGGCGGUAGAUGUCAGAAAUAUUUUUAUGAGGCUAGAUUUAAAGUUUCAUACCAUUCUGACACCCGUAGAGAGAGAAAUAGAAUCCGAAAGCUAUCUGAUAAAGAUUGCAGUCCGGUACAGUUUUCGAUGACCAAACGUGGUCGAAACUGAAAGAUUAAAAUUUCUUCGGACUUAUUAAGAAAAACCGAGCUUGCCUGCCAAAUUUGAGCGCAAACGGAUGUUCAGAAGGGCUCCGGCAAAAAAAUAUCAUUUUUAAACCCCCAUGGAGUGAAUAGUAUUUUUGGAAGCUUCAUAGGAAACUUGGAGAGCAAGUUUCCUCUCUAUGUAUAUAUAGGACUUGGGCUUUCUUUCCUCUCAUUAUUCACACUCACAAGCAAAGAGAAAAAUCUCUCUCUACACCAAAGAGAGGAUUGGAGAAGAAAAGAAAGAAAAAUUGAAGCAAGCUUGGAGAAGAUUAGAGUAGCUUGAAGUUGACGCUCUCUCUAAUGGUGGAAGCAAGCUUUCCAAUAGUGGAUUUAGCUUGAUGUGAAUGGUGGUCUAAGGUGAGAUCUCAUAAUUUAAGCUAGGAUUUGGUUUAAUCCUUAAUGCUUAGUGUUCCAAUAGCCUCUAAUGUGUUGAUUAGCAUGUUAAAUCCAUUUAAUUUGGGUUAAUUGGAGCAUGUGUAGAGGCUAGGUUUAUAAUGAUAGAUCUUAAGAGCUUUAAUUAUAUGCUCUAAGAAUGGAUUUAGAGGAAUCCUUAGAUGCUAAAUGGAUAACUAUUGCAUGAAUUAAGGGAUCAUAUGAUGAAUUCUUGCAAUAGUGUAUCUUAAGGCUCAAAAAUAGGAUUUUGUAAAAUAGUAGGGUUUGAUCUCAUUUGACCCUCCGUAAACCUAAUUGCUAGGUAAACGAACGCGUUGGCGAAGUCGGUUCGGCGAUUCGUCGAGCCGUUGCAAAGUUAUUAAAGAAACGGAUGUUUAGGCUUCGUUUCCGCCUGGAGGGCCGAGGCGACGUCGUAAAAUCAUGAGAUCGGAUCUGAAGCACCGUGUUAGCGUGGCGAAGAGCUUCUGCACUUGAAACGGCGAAGCGGUGCGCUUUUGGAGUGCAACUGUGAGAUCGGGCCCAAACCGGGUUACGGGUGCCGCGGGAGGCCGAUUGCAAGUGUCGACAAGCAGUCGAAAAGCGUGUUGAGGUCGGUUGUGCUCACCGAAGCGAUUAGGUCGCUUUCCGUGCCAAAGUGUAGUAUGUUUACUAUUGAUGCAUGAUAAAGUAUGCUAUUUAAGAAUGCAUGAUAAAAAUAGAUAUCAAAUAAAUGAAUGAGUUGAUGUUAAUUUACAUGAGCAUAUUAUAGAAAUGCUAAACAGAUGUCAAAUGAAAGUAUGAGAUUUAUACUAACCGAGAAUGCAUGUGGUAAAUGUUAACGAAUGCAUAAAAUGCUAAGUAAUGACUACCAAUGGAUGACAAAAUAUAUGCAUGUUGAACAUAGAUCGAGUGGCAUUUGGAAAUGGUAAAGUGGACACUAGAGUUAGUGUGGGACAUCAAAGAAUAAAUGUGAUGUAAAGAAUAAUGAUAAUGGUUAGAGACAAUGCAAAGCAAUGUGAUGUAAAGAAUAAUAAUAAUGGCUAGGGACAAUGCAAAGCAAUGUGAUGUAAAGAAUAAUGAUAAUGGCUAGAGCAAUGCAAAGCAAUGUCAUGUAAAGAAUAAUGAUAAUGGCUAGAGGCAAUGUAAAGUAAUGUGGCAUAAAGAACAAGUAAAGUGUAAAGAACAACGAUAAUGGCUAGAGUUAGCAACCAAUGUGACAUGAAACACACUAGAGUUAGUGUGUGGCAACAAAAGAACAAGUGUGACAUCAAGAAUGACAAUUACUAGAGUAAUUGACAAGUGGGGUGUAAAGAACAAUGAUUGCUAGAGUCAGCAACUAAUGUGAUGUAAAGAACACUAGAGUUAGUGUAAAGCCAUGAUUCAACUACAUAUCCUUAGAGUUAAGGAUUGAUUAUACUUGCUAUGAGUUCCGUGCUUAAGGGCAGUAGCUCCCCCUCAAGCGAUGCGCUCCGGAGUUUUGCAUCACGGGUUGGAGUAAACCCGAGGACGGUCCUAGCAGGUGAGUUCCUGCGAGGAUGGACUUAAUGUGAAGCAAGUUUAAUGUGGUGAAACCCCCGGGUUAGCCGUGAGAUUAAAGAACAAAGAACAAAAAGGAAUCAUGAAUUGGAAAGUGGAUCUUGUAUUCAUUAUGAAUUCACUCAAGAUCGAGUCGUGUGGCAUAGUUGGCUAAGGUAAAGGUAACCCUAGGAAAGAAUGACAAUUGUGAAAGAAUGACAAUUGAAAAACGUUUGUUAAUGUUAUAAAGAAUGGCAAAUGUGUAUAAUGUGCUUAAGGUGCGAGUGUUCUUAGCAAAGAAUAAAGAAUAAAGAAUAAAGAAUAAAGAGUAAAGAAUGGCUAAUGAUAAAGAAUAGCAAAUUCUAAAGAAAGGCUAAUGGUAAAGAAUGACAAAGAGUUGCAUAAUUUGCAUAUUUGUGAGGCAUGAACAUGUAUUGCACGAUGUUAUAUGUAUAUGUAUCUGUUGGACUAAUAUGUUGCUGUGCCUCCUUUGGACCUGGUGGGUUGAGCUCUUCCCUUGGGUGGCUGUACCCACUGAGGAUUAUGGACAAUAGUCUCACCCUCGUGUUGUUGUUUUUGGGGGUACAGGUUCACACGCGAGCGGCGCGGCUGCGCGAGGAAAGGGCGUAGCUCCGUAGUUAGCGCCCUACCACCGAGACCAGAUAGGGGUACCCCGAGUCGGCAUAGCCUAGGGGUAGAGGAAAAAGAAAAAGAGAAGAAUCAAUGUUGUAAUAAUUAUGUUUAGAACUUGAUUGUAUUUUUGGAAGUUGAGGAUCAAUGUGAUUUACAAAUAAAGUGAUGAAAAAAUGAAACGUGUAAGAUGCAUAAUUGUAAUAACUUAGUUGAAAUUAUGUUUUUGAUACUUCCUUAUGCAAUCUUUGGUUGAAUGUGUUCCUGGUUGGAACUUCGUACAUUGUAUUGAUUGCGACGCCUUGAACGUACAGGGGAGACUCUGUCCGCGGUACAGGGGAAACCCUGUCCGUUCGGCGGUCUGUUGGCGUGCCCGAAUCCGACCAAAGAGGCGGGCUCGGGGCGUGACAGAUAAGAUGGUAUCAGAGCAUAAAGUAGAGAAUGGGAAAGUGGUUUAGAUGAACCUAGGAGACCCUAGGAUAGUAAACCAUAGGAGAUUAAGGCUCGUGAGAGACGAGGACUUGUGACUUGUGGCGAAAGGAUAAUGGAUUGGGUUAUGUUGUAAACCUCUAAAAAGGAGAUUAGAGGUAGAUCCAAGGUGGUAUCAGAGCAUAAAAGAACAUAAAAAGAAUAAUAGAAAAUGGUUUAGUUGGACCUAGGAGACCCUAGGAUAGCAAACAAUAGGAGAUUAAGGCUCGUGAGAGACGAGGACUUGUGACUUUUGGCGAAAGAUAAAUUGAUUGGGUUAUGUUGUAAACCUCUAAAAAGGAGAUUAGAGGUAGAUCCCAGGUAUGGUUUAUUCUCAACUGAGGGUGUUCAUGUUGGACGCGUACAACAUGAAACCGAGUGAUGAGAAUAGAUGCCCUUGUAUAACUUUCGCCCGAUUUGAGUUAAUGUCAAUUGUUUCAUGCUCGACCUAGAAGGUUGAGAGUUAGUCGAGUUGUCAUGUUUUAGGUAACGAAGGCACCGCGUAGGCAAUCUUCAUCUAGAUCGAUGCGGGGUGGGACAAGUGAUGUCCCUGAGCAAUCCGAGGCAAGCGGAGACUUGGAACUUCGCGAACGGUUGACCACACUUGUGGGUGUGGUGAGGCAGCAAGCCGAUGUGGUGCAGCAACAGCAGGAGGCUGCUAUGCGCUAGGAGAAGCGAAUUAAGAGACUCCAGGAAACUGUAGACUAGCUGGUGACUGCACCAGUUGCGGCUCGUUGAGGAUAGCCGAGAGUUGCGGCGGAGAUCCCUCCGUCGGGGUCAGGCGAUCCGACUCCCGAAAGUGCAAUGCUGGAGGUAGAAAAAGAGUGUGCUUUAGAAGCCCUCCUGACCCUUUUAAAGUUUGAUCCACCUAUCUUCAAUGGAAAGAAUGUCGAUCCAUGGAUCGUGGAGACGUGGAUUGACUCCGUGGAAGCGCUCUUCGAGGAGCUAUACACAUUGGAGCGAGACAAGGUGCCCCUAGCCGUGCAUUGUUUAAAAUUGUCGGCAAAGGUGUGGUGGAAGGGCAUUCGGUGGAACCGAUCGCCUAGUCUUCCUCCCAUGGCUUGGGAAGAGUUUCGGGGAUUGUUGUUUUCUACGUACUUUCCCGACAGUGAAAAGAGAAAGCUUCAGGACAAGUUCAGGAAGCUGCGGCAAGGAGACCGCUCAGUUAGGGAAUACGAAUGGGAAUUCUGUCUAUCGUGAACUAUGUCCGAGAUAUAGAACCUUCUGCUGACGACGUCAUGCCAGGUAUGAGCUAUUAAUGCAGUUAUGUGUUUCUGCAUAAUGUAAAGUUGGUGCAUUGCAUGCAUUGAGCAUGUAGUUAAUUACUACUAUUUAUGUAGUAGCAUAGUAGGGUCCGAGUGAACGGAUAAGUGUAAAUGCCCGGGCACGCUUAUGUUGUGAAGGCAUAGCACCUGCCGGUGCAGGUAGAGAACUAGAUGACACUAGCGAGUUGCUAGUAAUGAUCUAAUGAUGAGACUUGUAGUAGAGGUGGAAAUGACGAACCAACUCGCAGAGCAAUGUAUGUAAUUGAUUGCGAGAGUUGUGUCAUGACACUUGUGGACACUCGAAUGGUUUGAGUGUUCUAGAUGUUGCUCCGGUAGAGCGAUUGGCUGCCAAAUACAGGCGCAUUGGCCUAAUAGUACCUCAAAUUGAGGUGGGUGAGUCGUGCUCGUGUGGCCGGUGUGCAUAGGCAAAGUUGCCUGAUGCUUGACAUAGUUGGAACGCUAUAGAGGCGCGUAGAGCGCUCGAGUAUAGUUACUCGUGGAGUGCGGAUGUAAUUCAGCCAAGUGAGAGUGUUGGCAGUAGCACCUGAGCAUUUCUAGGUGUGAAGCAUGCCAUGGAUCACUCGUGGGGCUGGUGGCUCGCACUAGGUGCAUAGGAGCCGAUAGUGGUACGUAUUGUGCUAUAGAGCGUGUAGUGCGAUUGAUAGUAUACUGAGAGUGCGAGUGUGACCCAACCCGGGAAUCUGUAACGGUUUGGGAUUUUAGUUGCUCCUGGUUGGAGUGUGUGCGAAUUCCCCAGUGAGAAUUUCGCCCCAACGAUGAUUGGGUCUACGCUUGCGAGCGAGGGACGUCGAGUAUUGAGACGGGUUUAGGCUGUAGGCCUACGUAGUAUGGGUGGCCUUUGGCUCACCUGUGGAAAGUCGAGGAAAGUGAUUUGGCGAGUAGCCUUAUCGGGGAGUUUGACUUGAGUUCACGAAUGACGUGUUCAUGUGAGCUCUUUGCGAAAGUAAUAAGACGUUGGCCGUGGCAUAUGGUAUCAGAAGAUGAAGUGCUCGUGGUGAGACCUUGAACUUGUGAGAAGCCACGUGGAGUUUGAGGAUUGGAUUUGGGAUGUGCCGAGGUGGCUCAUGUUAGAGCUAAAGAUCGGUGCGGAAUUAGAGCACUCGCGGUGAAGCGAUGCACUAGUGAUGUUGCUUUUAAGCAAUGUUGGAGAUAGAAUCGGAGUGUAUUCCCUGAGGGGAAAGUAAAUGCGAAGAAGAGUUCUUGUAUGCCAAGUGACAAGUGGUAUUGGAGCGCGUGGAGUCGUUGAGUUUCGACUUGCGCCGCCACCAAGAGUGAUGGAUACCCUAAUGCACUUUGUGAGAUGCGCCUUGCAAAGUUGGAUGCAUUUGGUAUCAUGAACUCCGUGGUAGUCCUCUUGGAUAGUUCCAAGGAGUGUAAAGCCAUUCCGAAGUGGAAAGUGUAUUGGUGCCCUCAAUUGCUCGAGGAGUUGAAUUGAGGCGUGAAUUGAGUUUCACGGACGAAACUCUUUUUAAGGAGUGGAGAAUGUAAUAUACCAGAUUUUGGUAUAAAAAUAAAGAUAAAUAAAAGUAGUGUGAGAUACUAUUUUUAUUGGGCUUCGGAAAGCAAAAUAUAUGUCUAGAGUGACUUGUGCUGAAAUCGGAAUGAAAACAGAAGAUUUAUAAUUUUCUGUUGGAAACAGGGCAGAUAAAAUUAGCAGGAAAUGCACAGGGUCAGAAAAUUAUGAAAAUUGGCGGAAGAUGUCAGAAAUAUUUUUAUGAGGCUAGAUUUAAGGUUUCAUAUUUUUCUGACACCCAUAGAGUGAGAAAUAAAAUCCGAAAGCUAUCUGAUAAAGAUUGCAGUCCGGUAUAGUUUUCGAUGACCAAACGUGGUCGAAACUGAAAGAUUAAAAUUUCUUCGGACUUAUUAAGAAAAAUCGAGCCUGCCUGCCAAAUUUGAACGCAAACGGAUGUUCAGAAGGGCUCCGGCAAAAAAAAGUUAGUUUUAAGCCCCCCUGGAGUGAAUAGUGUUUUUGGAAGCUUCAUAGGAAACUUGGAGAGCAAGUUUCAUAGGAAACUUGGAGAGCAAGUUUCCUCUCUAUGUAUAUAUAGGACUUGGGCUUUCUUUCCUCUCAUUAUUCACACUCACAAGCAAAGAGAAAAAUCUCUCUCUACACCAAAGAGAGGAUUGGAGAAGAAAAGAAAGAAAAAUUGAAGCAAGCUUGGAGAAGAUUAGAGUAGCUUGAAGUUGAAGCUCUCUCUAAUGGUGGAAGCAAGCUUUCCAAUAGUGGAUUUAGCUUGAUGUGAAUGGUGGUCUAAGGUGAGAUCUCAUAAUUUAAGCUAGGAUUUGGUUUAAUCCUUAAUGCUUAGUGUUCCAAUAGCCUCUAAUGUGUUGAUUAGCAUGUUAAAUCCAUUUAAUUUGGGUUAAUUGGAGCAUGUGUAGAGGCUAGGUUUAUAAUGAUAGAUCUUAAGAGCUUUAAUUAUAUGCUCUAAGAAUGGAUUUAGAGGAAUCCUUAGAUGCUAAAUGGAUGACUAUUGCAUGAAUUAAGGGAUCAUAUGAUGAAUUCUUGCAAUAGUGUAUCUUAAGGCUCAAAAAUGGAGUUUUGUGAAAUAGUAGGGUUUGAUCUCAUUUGACCCUCCGUAAACCUAAUUGCUAAGUCGGUUCGGUGAUUCGUUGAGCCGUUGCAAAGUUAUUAAAGAAACGGAUGUUUAGGCUUCGUUUCCGCCUGGAAGGCCGAGGCGACGCCCUAAAAUCAUUAGAUCGGAUCUGGAGCACCGUGUUAGCGUGGCGAAGAGCUUCUGCACUUGAAACGGCGAAGCAGUGCGCUCUUGGAGUGCAACUGUGAGAUCGGGCCCAAACCGGGUUACGGGUGCCGCGGGAGGCCGAUUGCCAGUGUCGACAAGCAAUCGAAAAGCGUGUUGAGGUCGGUUGUGCUCACCGAAGAGAUUAGGUUGCUUUCCGUGCCAAAGUGUAGUAUGUUUACUAUUGAUGCAUGAUAAAGUAUGCUAUUUAAGAAUGCAUGAUAAAGAUAGAUGUCAAAUGAAUGCAUGAGUUGAUGUUAAUUUACAUGUGCAUAUUAUAGAAAUGCUAAACAGAUGUCAAAUGAAAGUAUGAGAUUUAUACUAACCGAGAAUGCAUGUAGUAAAUGUUAACGAAUGCAUAAAAUGCUAAGUAAUGACUACCAAUGGAUGACAAAAUAUAUGCAUGUUGAAUAUAGAUCGAGUGGUAUUCGAAAUGGUAAAGUGGACACUAGAGUUAGUGUGGGACAUCAAAGAAUAAAUGUGAUGUAAAGAAUAAUAAUAAUGGGUAGAGACAAUGUAAAGCAAUGUGACGUAAAGAAUAAUGAUAAUGGUUAGAGACAAUGCAAAGCAAUGUGAUGUAAAGAAUAAUAAUAAUGGCUAGGGACAAUGCAAAGCAAUGUGAUGUAAAGAUAUAAAUGAUAUAUGGCUAGAGGACAAUGCCAAAUCAAUGUCAUGUAAAAGAAUAAUGAUAAUGGAGUUAAGAGGCAAUGUAAAGUAAUGUUUGGGCAUAAAAAAAGUAAAGUGUAAAGAACAUGUUAAGAAAUGGUUAGAGUUUAGCACAUGUGAAUAAAACACACUAGAGUUAGUGUGUAGGACAAACAAAAGAAUUAAUGUGUGACAUUAAGAAUGACAAUUACUAGCAGUAAUGACAGUGGGGUGUAAAGAACAAUGAUUGCUAGAGUUAGAACUAACUGUGAAUGUAAAGAACACUAGACGUUGUGUAAUAUAUGUAACACAUGGACAUUGUGCACAAUUGCGAGGUUCGGUGUUUGAUUGGGUGAAUUUGUGUCGAGCUUUUCCAACUUUCUGGUAGAGUCAGUGACAGUGUUCCGACUUAUGUUUAUCGGUCCGAGAAUUUGUGGUUUAAACCUGACAUGUACCAAAAUCAAAAAGUUGAUGUUAUUUGGUAGCUGUCGGUAGCUUUCGCAGGCUGGACGUACCGGUACGCGUUUGCUGCUGUAACCGGUACGUGCGUCGAUUGCGGUGUACGGUAGCGUGGUGUGUACGGAUACAAGAUCAUUUUCCAGCAAACGAGUUCGGUUUGGUUAUUGUGGGUGGUUGUACCGUACAAAACCGUGUACAGGUAACAGGAUGCCAGGUGGGGGCUGUUUUCGUGGAAGCGGGUGUUUUUGCAAUUGUGUGCAACUUCUUUAUAAACACCGCCUAUUAGAGAGCCUCCCUUUGAGCCUAAACCUGGGAGACACGUGAGAAACUUCCUCUUUUGGAUAUCUUCUCAGUUUUGAUGGUUUUCUUGUGGUUUUGAUCUCUUUUUCCUCUUUCUUCUUUUGCUGGUUUUCACCAUGGGAGAAGCUUAGAGAUCUUGGGGGGUUUGGGUUGAGUUCUUUGGAGAUCAACCUUCAACCUAGAGGACUUUGGAGCAAUUGGUUUGGAGUAAUCUAAAGAGCCGUUAGUAGCAAUUUCUCUCUCUAGAUUAGCUUUUGUUGGAUUACUAUAGAUAACCCUAGUUUGGUCAUUUUUAGGGGUUACGAAUUUUUUCUGGGAUUUUCGUUUUUUGAGGUUGAUUUGUAUAUAAUUGAUGGUUUAGAACUUUUGUUAUAGGUUUAGAUUGGAAGACUCUAACUCCCAUUUGCUGAAGAUCGAGAAGAGCUUCCUGUGCGCAAUCGGUAGAGGCUUUUUCCUACCUAGCUUGAGAGUUGAAAUUGAGCUUAGUGUCGUUCAUUUCGGUAGAUGGAAACCAUGUUUCUUACCUUUAAGGGUAGCUAGGAGAUUGAGAGACACCCUCGUUGGAGCGCACAGAGUUUCGUUGCCCAUCGGUGGGUUGGGCUUCGUGUCGAAAUGGGAUGCGAAAAUGGCCGCUAUGCUCUUUUACUCGUUGUAAAUUAUUUUUAAGUUCAUUUGUCUAGUGACUAUAUGAGAGUUUAUAUGAAUUAUAGAGCCAUUCAUAAAUGCCUGCCUUAUGUAUUAUAAAAUUUCAAUAGAUAUAGUAGGCUAUUAUGAGUAGAAAUGGUGCAUACGGAAAGGGUUUAUUUUGCCAGUGGAAUAAUUACAUAUCUCUUAUGAGGAUAUAUGAUUGGAAUAUUGCUUUUGGCAUAGUUGCCAUGUUCCUUCGACAUAGAGAGGCAACGAUGUCUAAAGGGAGCACUUGAAUUGGUAAAUAUGAAAUUGCAAUUAUAGGGACAUAUGAUAGGCCAUACAUAUCUUGUAUUUUCGUGUUAGAGACAUGAUGACAUAGGGAAUAGGCCAUUGAGCAUACUGAACACAUUCCAUGUUAUUAUGACACUGAUGGGACUUGGUACUUGGCACAGUAUCGUUUUGAUAUUGCCGAUUGUGCUCUUAUUCGACAUGCUCUGCUGAGGAUGGUUCGGCUCCUAACAAGCCGGUACUCGGAGAUGGCCAUCGCAGACUACAUUUCGCCAGUGCGUGGAUUGAGGCGGCCGAAGUGUGAUUGCCGUGGGAUGGCUCAUUCCUAAGGGUGGGGAUGAAUGGAACUUAGCCACUGGCAUUGGCCUCGGCAGUGCCAGACAGCCUUCGGGUGUCUCAGGGCAUAGACACUUCGGGUGUGUUUCUUCGAUUUGACGUGAGGAUUCCUCAUGACAUGUGGAAGUUUCUGAUUAGAGUAUUACUUGGACUUUGACCCUAGAAUAGAAAACAACGGAACUUUAUAUUUCGCAUGUGUUGAAAUUGUAAUAGUUGGAGACUUUCAUUAUUGCAUAGUUGCUUUAUAUUUUACUAUUCUGUAAGUAGAGAAUAUGUGUAGUAGGUUACAUUUUAGCUUACCUGCCACAUUUUACUUUUAUAGUCACUGACAUCUUCUGUUUAGCUUUGGGCCUUGUGGUGCAUUCACUGAAGUCAGUAAUUGCCCACUGGGAACUAUUUUUAAUAGUUCUCAUGCCCCCGUUUUGUGGUUUACUUUUCAGAGCCUUCGGCACCGGCGGAGGCACGGGAUCGCGGCAAGGGGAUCGCUUAGCUAGCUAGCGAGGAGCGGUACUUUGCCUAGGUGGUUUACUCUUUUUUUUUGUAGUUGAGGGAGAGUGAGAGAUUUUGUAUCCAUGUAUAGAGACCACCUAUGUACCUACUUUUAACUCUUGUAUUUGGGAUUUCCUACUGUUCUUACUCUAUGUUUCAUUUAGUGGAUUUACUGUUUUAUCCUUAUCCCUUGUUGUAGCAUUUAGAUAUUUAUUAUGCUCUGAUACUCCUAGGUAUCUCUUAUUACUGCUUUUAUUAUUGUUGUUUUUAGACGCCUUAUAUGUUGUAGACAUAUGGCGGGUCUGGGCAUGCGCCGGGCGGGCUCCCGCUGGGUCCCGGGGCGUGACAUAUGAUUCAACUACAUAUCCUUAGAGUUAAGGAUUGAUCAUACUUGCUAUGAGUUCCGUGCUUGAGGGCAGUAGCUCCCCCUCAAGCGAUGCGCUCCGGAGUUUUGCAUCACGAGUUGGAGUAAAUCCGAGGACGGUCCUAGCAGGUGAGUUCCUGCGAGGAUGGACUUAAUGUGAAGCAAGUUUAAUGUGGCGAAACCCCCGGGUUAGCCGUGAGAUUAAAGAACAAAGAACAAAAAGGAAUCAUGAAUUGGAAAGUAGAUCUUGUAUUCAUUAUGAAUUGACUCAAGACCGAGUCGAGUGGCAUAGUUGGCUAAGGUAAAUGUAACCUUAGGAAAGAAUGACAAUUGUGAAAGAAUGACAAUUGAGAAAGAAUGACAAUUGAGAAACGUUUGUUAAUGUUAUAAAGAAUGGCAAAUGUGUAUAAUGCGCCUAAGGUGCGAGUUCCCUUAACAAAGAAUAAAGAAUAAAGAAUAAAGAAUAAAGAGUAAAGAAUGUGGCUAAUGAUAAGGAAUAGCAAAUUCUAAAGAAAGGCUAAUGGUAAAGAAUGACUAAGAGUUGCAUAAUUUGCAUAUUUGUGAGGCAUGAACAUGUAUUGCACGAUGUUAUAUGUAUAUGUAUCUGUUGGACUAACAUGUUGCAGUGCCUCCUUUGGACCUGGUGGGUUGAGCUCUUCCCUUGGGUGGCUGUACCCACUGAGGACUAUGGACAAUAGUCUCACCCCCGUGUUGUUGUUUUUGGGGGUGCAAGUUCACACGCGAGCGGCGCGGCGGCGCGAGGAAAGGGCGUAGCUCCGUAGUUAGCGCCCUACCACCGAGACUAGAUAGGGGUACCUCGAGUCGGCAUAGCCUAGGGGUAGAGGAAAAAGAAAAAAAGAAGAAUCAGUGUUGUAAUAAUUAUGUUUAGAACUUGAUUGUAUAUUUGGAAGUUGAGGAUCAAUGUGAUUUACAAAUAAAGUGAUGAAAAAAUGAAACGUGUAAGAUGCAUAAUCGUAAUAACUUAGUUGAAAUUAUGUUUUUGAUAUUUCCUUAUGCAAUCUUUGGUUGAAUGUGUUCCUUGUUGGAAUUUCGUAUAUUGUAUUGAUUGCGACGCCUUGAACGUAUAGGGGAGACUCUGUCCGCGUACAGGGAAAAUCCUGUCCGUUCGGUAGUCUGUUGGCGUGCCCAAAUCCAACCAAAGAGGCGGGCGCGGGGCAUGACAAAACUGCUUAGUUUGCAGAAUGUAAUGAUAAUUGGAAUUUUGGCUUGCUUUUGAAAUUUUAUCUGUAUCUUUUUUUGCCCGACUCCAGCGCUUGCAAGAAGAGUUACAAACAAAGCCAGGCUCUCAUCUAAACCUAUAAAUAUUACUUAUCUUGCACCUUUAGUUAUCUGGAGAAUAAGAGUUUGAACUUUGAAGAUGUCUAACUUUAGAAUCCUUCUCUUUCUCUAAACUCCGGAUUUCUAUAUUAGUCCUAGUUAAGUUGUUGUUAAUUAUUGUUACAUUCAUUAAUUUGCUUAUUGUUGUAUGAAGAGUGAAGAUGUCUAGCUUUUAUGUAUGCUUAUUUGUGGAAUUGUGUGCUUGUAUGCUCUAUGUUUAUUCAAGCUUUUAUGUAUGCUUAUAUGUGAAAUAGUGAACUUUAUGUAUCUUUUAUUUGUUUACUGUUUAGACUUUAGAAUUUAGAUAUGCUAGCAUGCAGUUAUGCACUAUGCAAAGUGCCAAUUUCAUCUUGUAUUUAGUUUCUAACCGUGCUUGUAUGUGAACAAUUUGUGCCUGCUUUUGGGGUCCAUUUGGUUAACAAUUUGUUCUUCCCUUGGACCAUCCAAAGGAUUCAGCCAACACUCUCACAUUCAGUCCAUUCAAAGAUGAGCAGUACCAUUUUAUUCACUCAGAAUUUUGAUUACUUUGGCCGAAAUUGGGAUCAUACCUAAUCCCAUACGAUUAAGAAAAUAAGAUUUGAAGCGCUUCAAAUCUGAUUAUUUUGUUUGUGAUUGAAAUGUUUAUUUCUUGUUACUUCAUUCACAUUAGUAACUUGUUACUUCAUUCGCAUUCGUAUCUUACUGUUUUGUAUGUUCUUUUUGUGUAAUAUUUGGUUACAUGAAUUGAAUUAAUUAAUGUCGGUUUCUAUCUGUUAUAUAGUUCAUAGUCAAUAUUGUUAUCUACGUACUUGGCUUUUUUAUUCUUAUAUUGUAUGCGUUAUCAAUUCAAGGAUCAACAAAUGUUGAAAAUCCAAUUUUUCUUUAAUUUUAUUUACAGAUUUAUAAGAGGUGGUGACGAGAUUUUGGCAGGUCAUUGGCGAUAUAUUAAAUCAAGUUUAAGAAUUUAGAUAUAUUUUGAAAACUUUACAUUUAACUGAAUGUGGAAAUGACAAAAAACACUAUUAUCGUGUUUUGUUCUUUGGUUGUGUUGGGUGAUUGUAUUACUUAUAUAUGAUGGUUCAGUCUUACUUAUAUAUGUUGAUCCAAACUUCUUUCUGUUGUGAGAGACACAAUUCGAUGCAAAAUGUAGGAUUUCUGCUUGUUGAUCUGUGGUUUGUUUGUCCCAAAUUUUAUUUCAUUUUGAGAUGAUUAAAUUAAAAUUAAAGGUUAAAAGUUAAUAAUGAGAAAUAAAAUUAACUAUAGGUUAUUUCUUUAGCAAUUUAUACUAAAUCAAUAAUAUCUAUAUCUACCAAUUAGUUUUUUUAAAAAAUUAAUUUUAUAUUAGAAAAAUGGUGGCGACAAUAGUCGCCACCAUAAAACUAGUCAUAAGUAGCGG